rnacentral:rRNA from 1 species
GUAGGUGGCAAGCGUUGUCCGGAAUUAUUGGGCGUAAAGCGCGCGCAGGCGGUUCUUUAAGUCUGAUGUGAAAGCCCACGGGCUCAACCGUGGAGGGUCAUUGGAAACUGGAGAACUUGAGUACAGAAGAGGAAAGCGGAAUUCCACGUGUAGCGGUGAAAUGCGUAGAGAUGUGGAGGAACACCAGUGGCGAAGGCGGCUUUCUGGUCUGUAACUGACGCUGAGGCGCGGAAGCGUGGGGAGCAAACAGGAUUAGAUACCCUGGUAGUCCACGCCGUAAACGAUGAGUGCUAAGUGUUAGGGGGUUUCCGCCCCUUAGUGCUGCAGCUAACGCAUUAAGCACUCCGCCUGGGGAGUACGGCCGCAAAGGCUG